GCAAGUCGAGCGAGAAAGCACUUCGGUGCGAGUACAGCGGCGGACGGGUGAGUAACGCGUAGGAAUCUACCUAGUAGUGGGGGACAACAGUCGGAAACGGCUGCUAAUACCGCAUACGCCCUGAGGGGGAAAGCGGGGGCUCUUCGGACCUCGCGCUAUUGGAUGAGCCUGCGUAGGAUUAGCUAGUUGGUGGGGUAAUGGCCCACCAAGGCGACGAUCCAUAGCUGGUCUGAGAGGAUGAUC
rnacentral:rRNA from 1 species